rnacentral:rRNA from 1 species
CCUACGGGCGGCAGCAGUGAGGAAUAUUGGUCAAUGGACGGAAGCCUGAACCAGCCAUGCCGCGUGCAGGAAGACGGCUCUAUGAGUUGUAAACUGCUUUUGUACAAGGGUAAACCUGAAUACGUGUAUUCAGCUGAAAGUACUGUACGAAUAAGGAUAGGCUAACUCGGUGCCAGCAGCCGAGGUAAUACGGGGGAUACAAGGGUUAUCCGGAUUUAGUGGGGUUAAAGGGUGCGUAGGCGGAAUGCCAAGUCAGCGGUAAAAGCGCGGGGCUCAACCUCGCUCCGCCGUUGAAACUGGGGUUCUUGAGUGGGCGAGAGGUAUGUGGAAUGCGUGGUGUAGCGGUGAAAUGCAUAGAUAUCACGCAGAACUCCGAUUGCGAAGGCAGCAUACCGGCGCCCAACUGACGCUGAGGCACGAAAGCGUGGGUAUCGAACAGGAUUAGAUACCCCUGUAGUC